UACGUAGGUGGCAAGCGUUAUCCGGAUUUACUGGGUGUAAAGGGCGUGUAGGCGGUCUCAUAAGUCAGAUGUGAAAUUCCCGGGCUUAACCCGGGCGCUGCAUCUGAAACUGUGGGACUUGAGUACUGGAGAGGAUAGUGGAAUUCCUAGUGUAGCGGUAAAAUGCGUAGAUAUUAGGAGGAACACCGGUGGCGAAGGCGACUAUCUGGACAGUAACUGACGCUGAGGCGCGAAAGCGUGGGGAGCAAACAGGAUUAGAUACCCUGGUAGUCCACGCCGUAAACGAUGGAUACUAGGUGUAGGGGGUAUCGACCCCCCCUGUGCCGGAGUUAACACAAUAAGUAUCCCACCUGGGGAGUACGGCCGCAAGGCUGAA
rnacentral:rRNA from 1 species